ACGAACGCUGGCGGCAUGCCUAACACAUGCAAGUCGAACGAAGUCUUCGGACUUAGUGGCGCACGGGUGCGUAACGCGUGGGAAUCUGCCCUUGGGUACGGAAUAACUCAGAGAAAUUUGUGCUAAUACCGUAUAAUGUCUUCGGACCAAAGAUUUAUCGCCCAAGGAUGAGCCCGCGUAAGAUUAGCUAGUUGGUGGGGUAAAAGCCUACCAAGGCGACGAUCUUUAGCUGGUCUGAGAGGAUGAUCAGCCACACUGGGACUGAGACACGGCCCAGACUCCUACGGGAGGCAGCAGUGGGGAAUAUUGGACAAUGGGCGAAAGCCUGAUCCAGCAAUGCCGCGUGAGUGAUGAAGGCCCUAGGGUUGUAAAGCUCUUUUACCAGGGAUGAUAAUGACAGUACCUGGAGAAUAAGCUCCGGCUAACUCCGUG
rnacentral:rRNA from 1 species